AUCGCUUCUCAGCCUUUUGGCUAAGAUCAAGUAUAGAAACAGCUCUGAGUAUUAGAGCUAUCAUAUUAAAGACAAAGAUGAAAAUGCUUUGUUUUCUAGAUAUAUCAGCUUGCAGAUUUAUGUAAAUAAGCAUUUCGUGAGUAAUGAAGAUAACAAAUGCAAAUGAG
ensembl:snRNA U2 U2 spliceosomal RNA